rnacentral:lncRNA from 1 species
CUCAAUCUCAAUCUCCUCUCUCCCUAAAUAAACCCUGACUUCCAGGAAAGGGAAGGCUAAUCAACUUAAACCCAAGCUCAGAGGCCACGCCGGAAUCCUCUGCUCCAUACAUAGGCCAGGUUUGUCACAAGGGGCCCUGGAACGAACCGAAGGGGGGUUGUGGCCUGGCUUCCUAGCUGCGCGUUAGUGCCUCUUGAGUGACUUCCUGCAGCCACAAGGCCUGCUGGGAGGGAGAGGAGUCCGGAAGAGCGACCAGAGGACGGCUCCAGGAGGGUGUGCGCAGCCCUCGCGUGGGGUGUGCGAUCUCUUGAUAAACGGUUUCUGCUGGUGUGCUCUGGAAUUUCAGUGUGUCCCCUGGAAACGAGGGGAAACGAGGGGAAACAGAACCCUCAGGGAGGAUGAUUGGACGACCAAAGUGGUGAACUGCUGGCCAGAGAAGUCACCUACGUGGGACUCGCUGUUGAAUGCACGGGGCACAGGUGCCAGGAGACUGGAAAAUGACAGGAAAUUAAAACCAAACAGAUAGGGAAAGCAAGCCUCACUGAACUUCCGCUUGUAAGUAAAUAAGUUUAUUUAUGUAUCUUUCAGUGGAUUCUGUUUGAAAACACUGAAUUCCCAAACAGAACAAUUGGCUUAAAAUUAACGUGGCUUAUUAACAAUUAAAAGUGAACCCGAGCUGAAGAAGAUUGGAGGUGAAACCUGGGCUUCCCUUUGAUAGGUGGAGUAAUUACAAAGUGUGCUUUUGAAGUUCAAGAAGACAGCCUGAGGACACAACAUUUUUAAAGUAAAAAUUGGCUUGCACUCCAUUCGAGUGAUUUAUUUUGCACUAAGAAAUGGGUGUGAUUUAAAAUUUCAUCCCUUGAUGGAAAUGCUGGAGGGUGACAUGAGUUUUUUUCUUUUUUCUUUUCUCAGCCUGCUCAGCCUAUGAAGUUUGCUAUCUAAAAGUUAAUCUUCUGAAAUUCCUUAGGAAUUUAAGGAAACCUAAUCUCUUGGUGUGUAAACAAAAGGGACUGAGCAUGCUGCUCUCCCUGUGACUCUAGGAGGGGCCCAGUGGCAGCUGUUAGGACCCAGUGAUCACCACGGCAGAGCCUUCUAGCCAGUCUUGUGUUGUUGCCUACUAAGUUCUUACUUUUGGAAAGCCUCACCUCUACCAUUAAAAAUGCUCUUUCUCAAAGAAGGCUUGAAAGGUGGUGGUGGGGGAUUAAAGAAGUGAAGUAGAACCCACUCAAAGAGGAAAGUUAAAAGGAACCAGGAUUUAGUUACAGUGAAGGCUAGAUUAACCAAGGAACAGGGCAUUGAGAAAAGAUGAAUAAUAGCUUAAAAAACAGCUUGAUG